rnacentral:tRNA from 1 species
AAGGAUUUAAGUUAAACUUAAACUAUCAGCCUUCAAACCUGAAAAUAGAACAAAAACUAAGCCUUA